AGCUUAUGGUGUGACAUCUUCUAAACAAAUCCUUAAAUCGCUCCCAAGUCUCAUAUAAAGAUUCAACUUCAAAUUGUAUGAAAUAAGUUAUAUCAUUCCACAACUU
rnacentral:snoRNA from 1 species